GACUAAAGCCAUGCUACCCUGAACAAGCUGAUUCUGUCUGAUCUCGGAACCUAAGCAGGGUCGGGCCUGGUUAGUACUUGGAUGGGAGACCAUCUAGGAAGACCAGGUGCUGUAGGCA
rnacentral:rRNA from 1 species